rnacentral:rRNA from 1 species
CAGCAGCCGCGGUAAUACGUAGGGUGCGAGCGUUAAUCGGAUUUACUGGGCGUAAAGCGUGCGUAGGCGGCUUCUUAAGUCGGAUGUGAAAUCCCUGAGCUUAACUUAGGAAUUGCAUUCGAUACUGGGAAGCUAGAGUAUGGGAGAGGAUGGUAGAAUUCCAGGUGUAGCGGUGAAAUGCGUAGAGAUCUGGAGGAAUACCGAUGGCGAAGGCAGCCAUCUGGCCUAAUACUGACGCUGAGGUACGAAAGCAUGGGGAGCAAACAGGAUUAGAUACCCCAGUAGUCCCUGUCUCUUAUAC